rnacentral:lncRNA from 1 species
AAUGGUGGUUGUCACCCGGUGUCACGAUGUCACUUGGAAGAGGUGUCACCCCCUGGCUCAAUGGAUGUCACCCGGUGGUGGGUGUCAGUCGCUGGCUCGAUGUCACCUGGCUGCUCGGUGUCACCUGCUGAUGGGUGUCACCCGGUGUCACGAUGUCACCCACAGUCCGAUUGUGUCUUCAGCCCUUCUGGAGGUGAAUGUCACCCGAUGUCACGAUGUCACUUGGAAGAGGUGUCACCCCAUGGCUCAAUGGAUGUCACCCGGUGGCGGAUGUCACCCGGAGGCGGAUGUCACCCGGUGGCGGAUGUCAGUCGCUGGCUC